GUCAGGGGUGAGGGGAUGUCGCACCGCCUGGUGGCGGCCGCCGGCAGUCGGGCGGUGGCCUGGCCGCUUGUCGUGCUGUGGCGAUGUGGCGGCAGCCCAGGAAGCGGUGGUGUGGCCUGGACUGGCCGGAGGGCCCUCGGCCCGGCCUGGCAGUGCCUCCAGGGGAUCUACUUUCAGCACUUGGCUCUGCAGGGAAGACUGACUUCAUUUUCCCAAUGGUUGUGUUCAAAACCACCCAGAGGGUUUGAGAAAUUCUUUAAGAGAAGUGGAAGAAACACACACUCAGAAAAUUCAACAGCUCCAAAAAAAGAAACUGAUGAACCAAAGAAUGCUGGGCCUGGAAGAGAUGGAGGCAGGAGAGGAGGGAAGUGGGAUGACUUUGCAUGGUGGAAACGGAUGCAGAAGGGGGAGUUCCCCUGGGAUGACAAGGAUUUCCGAAAUCUGGCCAUUUUGGGAGCAGGUGUUGCUGCAGGAUUCUUCUACUUUUAUUUUCGAGAUCCUGGAAAAGAGAUCACCUGGAAGCACUUUGUACAGUAUUACUUGGCCAGAGGUCUGGUGGACCGACUGGAAGUUGUGAACAAGCAAUUUGUUCGUGUUAUUCUUGCCCCUGGGACAAGCUCUGAGAAGUUCGUGUGGUUUAACAUUGGCAGUGUUGACACCUUUGAGCGGAACCUGGAGUCUGCUCAGUGGGAGUUGGGGAUUGAACCCACCAACCAGGCUGCAGUGGUCUACACCACUGAGAGUGAUGGCUCUUUCCUGCGAAGCCUGGUGCCCACCCUACUCCUGGUUGGCAUCCUUCUGUAUGCUGUGAGGAGGGGCCCAAUGGGGGCCGGGCGUGGUGGGCGAGGAGGGGGCCUCUUCAGCGUUGGUGAGACAACAGCCAAGAUCUUAAAGAACAACAUCGAUGUACGAUUUGCAGACGUAGCUGGCUGUGAAGAGGCCAAAUUGGAAAUUAUGGAGUUUGUGAAUUUCCUGAAGAACCCCAAGCAAUAUCAGGACUUAGGAGCCAAAAUUCCGAAGGGAGCCAUGCUCACUGGUCCACCCGGGACUGGCAAAACGCUUCUUGCGAAAGCAACUGCAGGAGAGGCCAGUGUGCCUUUCAUCACUGUAAAUGGGUCAGAAUUCCUGGAAAUGUUUGUUGGAGUUGGACCAGCAAGGGUUCGUGAUAUGUUUGCAAUGGCCCGAAAGAAUGCUCCUUGUAUCUUAUUCAUUGAUGAGAUUGAUGCAAUUGGCAGGAAGAGAGGCCGAGGGCACUUGGGAGGCCAGAGUGAGCAGGAGAACACCCUGAACCAGAUGCUUGUGGAGAUGGAUGGGUUCAACUCUACCACCAAUGUUGUGGUGCUGGCUGGUACCAACCGUCCUGACAUACUUGACCCAGCCCUGACUCGGCCUGGCCGGUUUGACCGCCAGAUUUACAUUGGUCCCCCUGACAUCAAAGGUAGGUCCUCAAUCUUCAAGGUCCACCUGCGUCCACUCAAGUUGGAUGAGAUCCUCCGUAAGGACGCUCUGGCGAGGAAGCUGGCAGCACUCACUCCAGGCUUCACUGGUGCUGAUAUUUCUAAUGUGUGUAAUGAAGCAGCCCUGAUUGCUGCCCGCCACUUGAGCCCUUCUGUCCGGGAGCAACAUUUUGAGCAAGCCAUUGAGAGAGUCAUUGGAGGUCUUGAGAAGAAGACCCAAGUCCUACAGCCCAGUGAAAAAACAACUGUGGCCUACCAUGAGGCUGGGCAUGCAGUAGUGGGCUGGUUUUUGGAGCAUGCAGACCCCUUGCUGAAGGUGUCCAUCAUCCCCCGGGGCAAGGGGCUUGGUUAUGCCCAGUACCUUCCCCGAGAGCAGUACCUAUACACACGGGAGCAACUUUUUGACCGCAUGUGCAUGAUGCUGGGGGGCAGGGUGGCUGAGCAGCUCUUCUUUGGGCGGAUCACCACAGGGGCUCAGGAUGACCUGAAGAAGGUUACUCAGAGUGCCUAUGCCCAGAUCGUGCAAUUUGGAAUGAGUGAAAAGCUGGGCCAGGUGUCCUUUGAUUUCCCUCGGCAAGGUGAGGCCCUGGUAGAGAAGCCUUACAGUGAGGCAACUGCCCAGCUCAUCGAUGAGGAAGUUCGGCAUCUCAUCAGCUCGGCCUAUGAUCGGACCCUGGAACUGCUGACACGGUGCCGGGAACAGGUGGAGAAGGUGGGCAGGCGGCUCCUGGAGAAAGAAGUGUUGGAGAAGGCUGACAUGGUAGAGCUGUUGGGCCCUCGGCCCUUCGCAGAGAAGUCCACCUACGAGGAGUUCGUGGAGGGAACCGGCAGCCUUGAGGAAGACACGUCCCUUCCUGAGGGGCUGAAGGACUGGAAUCGUGAGCGAGAGGAAGGUGUGCCAACCACUGAAGAAGUCUGCAGGAGUUGGGAGCAGCCAUCCUCUUCCCCGGUUUGAACUGAAACAGCUAAGGCUGGUGGCCUGCUUUCUGAUGGUGAAUCCUAUGCUGUGACCAUGGGGAUUGGGAGAGAGACACGAAAAGACAACAUUCAGGGCUCUGCUGUGUGAGGUUUGGAAGAGGGAAGGGAGGAUGUUGGGGCUGGCCUUUUCCCCACACACUGCUGCCCGGGACUCCAGACAAUGGCAGUACUUCUUGGGAACCAGGAGCCCUGGUGCUGGUAUUGGGAUUCCUGCUUCCUCUUCAGCCACAGGUGUGUGGCAACUGUCCCCUGUUCCAUGGGUUGGGACACCUAGAGCAGUCUGCAGCACCUCAACCUCCUUAACGAUCUCUGCAACGAAGACAUGGUGUCACCUCGAGAUUCACAGGAUCCCUACACUCCAAGUCCAGGGCCUAGAGGGGGCAUGAGGAGUUAGCAAGUCAUGUCCUCCUUGGAGGCUCUGGGCAGUGACGGUUUUGCAGGAUGGCCCUAUACCAGGGCCUCAGACAAGGGGGCAGGGAGGCUGUUCCUCUCCCUCAGGCCCUGGUGUCCUCCCUGGGAUGAGGGAGGUGACAUCUGAGAAUGGAUGUCCAGACCAUCAUCAGGGCUAGGCAGCUCUUGCCACUAGAAUUCCAUGUUGGGCACAUCAUCCCCCAGUGUUCACAUACUGCCAAUAUGUCUAAUUUUUGGUUUGUCCAGGGUGCACUGAAGGAUCCCUUGUAGGUGCCCAUGUGAGCUGUCCUGUCUUUCCUCUGCGGACUGACUUUUCCUAUUAAAAACCGAUGCUGUAUUUGAAUUAAAAAUGAAAGAAAAUGAGCCCCACUUCACAUUCCAGGUUAUUUCU